CCGGCGAUGUCCGAAUGGGGAAACCCAGUGCAAUUCGUUGCACUAUCGUUAACUGAAUACAUAGGUUAACGAGGCGAACCGGGGGAACUGAAACAUCUAAGUACCCCGAGGAAAAGAAAUCAACCGAGAUUCCCCCAGUAGCGGCGAGCGAACGGGGAGCAGCCCAGAGUCUGAAUCAGCUUGUGUGUUAGUGGAACGGUCUGGAAAGUCCGACGGUACAGGGUGAUAGUCCCGUACACCAAAAUGCACAGGCUGUGAACUCGAAGAGUAGGGCGGGACACGUGGUAUCCUGUCUGAAUAUGGGGGGACCAUCCUCCAAGGCUAAAUACUCCUGACUGACCGAUAGUGAACCAGUACCGUGAGGGAAAGGCGAAAAGAACCCCGGCGAGGGGAGUGAAAAAGAACCUGAAACCGUGUACGUACAAGCAGUGGGAGCACCUUCGGGUGUGACUGCGUACCUUUUGUAUAAUGGGUCAGCGACUUAUAUUCUGUAGCAAGGUUAACCGUAUAGGGGAGCCGCAGGGAAACCGAGUCUUAACUGGGCGUUAAGUUGCAGGGUAUAGACCCGAAACCCGGUGAUCUAGCCAUGGGCAGGUUGAAGGUUGGGUAACACUAACUGGAGGACCGAACCGACUAAUGUUGAAAAAUUAGCGGAUGACUUGUGGCUGGGGGUGAAAGGCCAAUCAAACCGGGAGAUAGCUGGUUCUCCCCGAAAGCUAUUUAGGUAGCGCCUCGUGAAUUCAUCUUCGGGGGUAGAGCACUGUUUCGGCUAGGGGGUCAUCCCGACUUACCAACCCGAUGCAAACUACGAAUACCGAAGAAUGUUAUCACGGGAGACACACGGCGGGUGCUAACGUCCGUCGUGAAGAGGGAAACAACCCAGACCGCCAGCUAAGGUCCCAAAGUCAUGGUUAAGUGGGAAACGAUGUGGGAAGGCACAGACAGCCAGGAUGUUGGCUUAGAAGCAGCCAUCAUUUAAAGAAAGCGUAAUAGCUCACUGGUCGAGUCGGCCUGCGCGGAAGAUGUAACGGGGCUAAACCAUGCACCGAAGCUGCGGCAGCGACACUAUGUGUUGUUGGGUAGGGGAGCGUUCUGUAAGCCUGCGAAGGUGUGCUGUGAGGCAUGCUGGAGGUAUCAGAAGUGCGAAUGCUGACAUAAGUAACGAUAAAGCGGGUGAAAAGCCCGCUCGCCGGAAGACCAAGGGUUCCUGUCCAACGUUAAUCGGGGCAGGGUGAGUCGACCCCUAAGGCGAGGCCGAAAGGCGUAGUCGAUGGGAAACAGGUUAAUAUUCCUGUACUUGGUGUUACUGCGAAGGGGGGACGGAGAAGGCUAUGUUAGCCGGGCGACGGUUGUCCCGGUUUAAGCAUGUAGGCUG
rnacentral:rRNA from 1 species